rnacentral:rRNA from 1 species
UACAGAGGUCUCAAGCGUUGUUCGGAUUCAUUGGGCGUAAAGGGUGCGUAGGCGGCGCGGUAAGUCAGGGGUGAAAUCCUGGAGCUCAACUCCAGAACUGCCUUUGAUACUGGGAAUCUCGAGUCCGGGAGAGGUGAGUGGAACUGCGAGUGUAGAGGUGAAAUUCGUAGAUAUUCGCAAGAACACCAGUGGCGAAGGCGGCUCACUGGCCCGGUACUGACGCUGAGGUGCGAAAGCGUGGGGAGCAAACAGG